rnacentral:rRNA from 1 species
GGCGGGAGACGGGGCGCAGCGAGCGCGAGACGGGGUGCAGCAAGCGCGAGACCUCCGCGAUGAGGGAGACCGCGACGGGGGGACCCCGAGUGCCGUGGCACCGCCACGGCUCUUCCGGAGAGUAGAAAAGCUCCGGGGAUAAGGGCUGGGCAAGGCCGGCGGCAGCCGCCGCGGUAUACCGGCGGCCCGAGCGGUGGCCGCCAGUAGCGGGCCCAAAGCGUCCGUAGCCGGGCCCGUAAGUCCCUGGCGGAAUCCCACGGCUCAACCGUGGGGCGUGCUAGGGGAUACUGCGGGCCGGGGAACCGGGAGAGGCGGGGGGUACCCCAGGGGUAGGGGGGAGAAUCGCCAGAAUCCCAGGGGGACCGCCAGAGGCGAAGGCGCCCCGCUGGAACGGGUCCGACGGAGAGGGACCGAAGGCCAGGGGCAGCGAACCGCGCGAGGGAGGAUAACCCGGAGGUGGGUGCCGGGGCGGGUUGAGAGAGACUGGAUACGGGAGGCGGCGGGGUUGGGACGGCUGAG